GUGUGUGAAAACAUUGUGAAUGGAAGACAGAGAUUGCCUUCUGAUGUCAGUGGUAGGGAUGCGUCAAGAGGAGCAGAUUCGGUUCAAUCGGCUUAUACAGAACUAGGAGCUAUCGAAAGUCCAAACAGUUACGAACACAUUCGUAGGAACGAUACGGCAUAUACUGAACUCGGAACUCUUGAAAGCCCGAAUCAUUACGAACAUCUUCAACAAUAUGCAGAAAUCAGUGAUAUGAUGUAACCAAUAUGUCACGUUAAAAGUUAAAUUCUGAUAAAUGAAACACAACGAUUUUAAAAGUGCAACUAGAAUUACACACUCCUAUGGCAGAAAUAGUUAUUCUACACUAACCGAUGAAACCAUACAAAAAAUUUAUACAAUCUAAACAUGAAAUCGUAAAAAAAAUCAUCACUUCAUGUUAACCUGCGAUUCUAGAAGUACUUUCAAAAAAGUAUGGAAUAAGAGCUUUCGAUAGAAAGAAAAACAUGUUUCAUAAUAUGCGGCAUAGUGUUGAACUUUUGCAUCUUUUUUCGAAUCAAACAGCAGAGGAAAGAGCUGAUUGGAAUGUAAAAACUCUGUCAUCAUUUUAUGAAGAAUAUGUUAACAUAAAGAAGCAUAUCUUAUUCAUAAGCAUUGAUUUAGCAUGACUCACACAUGAUAUUUAUGUUAAAUGCUUU